CCUACGGGAGGCUGCAGUCGAGGAUCUUCGGCAAUGGGCGCAAGCCUGACCGAGCGACGCCGCGUGCGCGACGAAGGCCUUCGGGUUGUAAAGCGCGAAAGCGCCGAGGAACGCUGACCGAGGCGCAGUAAGCUCGGGCUAAGUUCGUGCCAGCAGCCGCGGUAAGACGAACCGAGCGAACGUUGUUCGGAAUCACUGGGCUUAAAGGGCGCGUAGGCGGGCCGCCGAGUCCGGGGUGAAAGCCUCCCGCCCAACGGGAGAAGGGCCCCGGAUAC
rnacentral:rRNA from 1 species